rnacentral:rRNA from 1 species
UGGGGAAUAUUGCACAAUGGGCGCAAGCCUGAUGCAGCCAUGCCGCGUGUGUGAAGAAGGCCUUCGGGUUGUAAAGCACUUUCAGCGAGGAGGAAGGCGUUAAGGUUAAUAACCUUGGCGAUUGACGUUACUCGCAGAAGAAGCACCGGCUAACUCCGUGCCAGCAGCCGCGGUAAUACGGAGGGUGCAAGCGUUAAUCGGAAUUACUGGGCGUAAAGCGCACGCAGGCGGUUUGUUAAGUCAGAUGUGAAUCCCCGAGCUUAACUUGGGAACUGCAUUUGAAACUGGCAAGCUAGAGUCUUGUAGAGGGGGGUAGAAUUCCAGGUGUAGCGGUGAAAUGCGUAGAGAUCUGGAGGAAUACCGGUGGCGAAGGCGGCCCCCCUGGACAAAGACUGACGCUCAGGUGCGAAAGCGUGGGGCAGCAAACAGGAUUAGAUACCCUGGUAGUCCACGCUGUAAACGAUGUCGAUUUGGAGGUUGUGGGCUUGACCCGUGGCUUCCGGAGCUAACGCGUUAAAUCGACCGCCUGGGGAGUACGGCCGCAAG